rnacentral:rRNA from 1 species
CACGUAGGGACCAAGCGUUGUCCGGAUUCAUUGGGCGUAAAGAGCGCGCAGGCGGCUUGGUAAGUCGGAUGUGAAAUCCCGAGGCUCAACCUCGGGUCUGCAUCCGAUACUGCCCGGCUAGAGGUAGGUAGGGGAGAUCGGAAUUCCUGGUGUAGCGGUGAAAUGCGCAGAUAUCAGGAGGAACACCGGUGGCGAAGGCGGAUCUCUGGGCCUUACCUGACGCUCAGGCGCGAAAGCUAGGGGAGCGAACUGG